rnacentral:rRNA from 1 species
AUUGAACGCUGGCGGCAGGCCUAACACAUGCAAGUCGAACGCGUGGCGGACGGGUGAGUAAUGUCUGGGAAACCUCCCGAGGGAGGGGGGUAACUUAUGGAAACGGUAGCUAAUACCGCCUACCAUCGGAUUUGCACAGAUGGGAUUAGCUUGUAGGUGGGGUAACGGCUCACCUAGGCGACGAUCCCUAGCUGGUCUGAGAGGAUGACCAGCCACACUGGAACUGAGACACGGUCCAGACUCCUACGGGAGGCAGCAGUGGGGAAUAUUGCACAAUGGGCGCAAGCCUGAUGCAGCCAUGCCGCGUGUAUGAAGAAGGCCUUCGGGUUGUAAAGUACUUUCCGCGAGGAGGCGUUACUCGCAGAAGAAGCACCGGCUAACUCCGUGCCAGCAGCCGCGGUAAUUC